AGUGAACGCUGGCGGUAGGCCUAACACAUGCAAGUCGAACGGCAGCACAGUAAGAGCUUGCUCUUACAGGGGGCGAGUGGCGGACGGGGGAGGAAUACAUCGGAAUCUACUUUUUCGAGCGGGAUGACGUGGGGAAACUUACGCUAAUACCGCAGACGACCUACGGGUGAAAGCAGGGGAUCUUCGGACCUUGCGUGAUUGAAUGAGCCGAUGUCGGAUUAGCUAGUUGGCGGGGUAAAGGCCCACCAAGGCGACGAUCCGUAGCUGGUCUGAGAGGAUGAUCAGCCACACUGGAACUGAGACACGGUCCAGACUCCUACGGGAGGCAGCAGUGGGGAAUAUUGGACAAUGGGCGCAAGCCUGAUCCAGCCAUGCCGCGUGUGUGAAGAAGGUCUUCGGGUUGUAAAGCCCUUUUGUUGGGAAAGAAAAGCAGCAGGUUAAUACCUCGCUGUUCUGACGUUACCCAAAGAAUAAGCACCGGCUAACUUCGUG
rnacentral:rRNA from 1 species